UGGACGGGUGGCCGGAGGGGUUGGCUGUUAUCUUUGGUUAUCUAGCUGUAUGAGUGUUAUUCAUUCUUCAUAAAGCUAGAUAACCGAAAGUAACAAGAAUCCCAUUACACACCUGAAAGGCA
rnacentral:precursor_RNA from 8 species